GGGGCUAGUUAUUAGAGCUUAUCAGUCACAUUGUAAAUCUUGUAGUAAAUAGCAAUAAAAGUCUUUAGUUUCACUGCCGGCUGCUGUGUGAGUUAAUUGGAGACGUGCGUUACGACCUCACGACAUAUACAGAUUCUGCCUUCACAGAGAAA